CAUCUACUGCUGGAGGUGUAACUCCAGUCCGACAGUCUACAACAGUGACGGCUUCAAGUAAUCGGCUGUGUCUGUGGAGGAUCCCAAGGUCCAGGGGGAAGGAUGGCAUAGCACGCCCAAACAUCAGUUAUUCCCCAUUGGGAGACAUUGGGAGGCUAGCGAGCAUACACAGCAAAGCUCCGUGCUGCGCCAAUCAGUUAACCUGGCGCUUUACUUGACUAUUGUGGCAGAAGAGUCUCAAGUUGCUGUCUGGGAAAUAGCCAAUAUAAGCAUGUUAACCCUGAAAUGUAAGCAUUUCCAUUCCUGCAGGGUUAAGCAGACUGGGAG